ACAACAGAAGAGCACUGGUACAUCUCAAUAAGCAGGAUGGCUGACUUUGUCAGGACUCUGGGUUUCACUCGGUUACGUUCACCAACCAAAUCAGACAUCGCUCCGCAAAACAGCUUCACAGGAAGUGUCAGAGAGAGAGCUGAUUGGAUGAGAUUCCUGGAUGACUCCAGUGAGAGGCAGUGAUGGGCUGACCUUGUCUAUGACCGACGCCCCUUAAUCAGCAUCCUUUCCCCAAAGGGUUAGCAGUAAAGACACCCCCCACCCACACACACCCACACAGUAAAGACACCAACCUGUUAGCACGCGCACGCACGCACGCACGCACGCACGCACGCACGCACGCACGCACGCACGCACACACGCACGCACGCACACACACACACACACACACAGUAAAGACACCAACCUGUUAGCACACGCGCACACACACACACACAAAGUAAAGACACCAACCUGUUAGCACACACACAAACACAGUAAAGACACCAACCUGUUAGCACACGCCAGCUGAUGAACAAACUACUUCAUCACAAUGAAGAGGGUACAGUGAUGAUACAGUCAGAGGUCAUGGGUCACAGUGAUGAUACAGUCAGAGGUCAUAGGUCACAGUGAUGAUACAGUCAUGGGUCACAGUGAUGAUACAGUCAGAGGUCACAGUGAUGAUACAGUCAGAGGUCAUGGGUCACAGUGAUUGUGCUUUUUAUUCACCAGUCUGGCUCUGACUGUGUUUGGGAGAGAGUAUGAGACACAUGUGCGUGUGUGUGUGUGUCAGGGAGAGAGAGAGAGAGAGAGUAUGAGUCGCAAGCGUGUGUGUGUGUGUGUGUCAGGGAGAGAGAGAGAGAGAGUAUGAGUCGCAAGCGUGUGUGUGUCAGGGAGAGGGAAAGAGUAUGAGAUAAGAUGUGGGUGUGUGAGAGAGUGCUUAUGAGACGCACGUGAGACAUAAUGUGUGUGAGAGAAAGUGAGACCUCUGUGUGUGAGAGAAAGUGUGUGUGUGAGAGAGGGUGAGACGUGCGUGUGUGUGUGAGAGAGAGUGAGAAGUGUGUGUGAGAGAGAGUGAGACAGGUGUGUGUGUGUGUGUGUGAGAGUGAGAUGUGUGUGUGUGUCAGAGAGUGAGACAGGUGUGUGUGAGAGAGAGUGAGACGGAUGUGUGUGUGUGUGUGUGUGAGAGAGAGAGAGUGAGAUGUGUUGUGUGUCAGAGAGUGAGACAGGUGUGUGUGUGUGUGAGAGAGAGAGUGAGACGGGUGUGAGAGAGAGAAGUCCACCUUUCGUUUGGCCAUUUUUGGGGGGAGAGAGACAGGCCACAAGCUAAACUUUGACUUCAGGUGAUGAGGCUGCAGACAGUGGGGCAAGGGCUCACGCUUGCGGGCCUAAAUUGACACAAGCUGUGUCUACUUGUGCACUUCAAACACUGACUUUCAGUGCUUAGGGCGUUCACACUGACAGAAUCAGCAGAAUGCAGGGCACUGAAAGUACCCGGAUGGCGCACUGCAAACGGUAAAAAACUGCAGUGUGAAACGAUGUACACUACUCGCCUUAAACGGGCGCCAUCUUGGCUACGUAGCGGAAGAGGAGGAGCCCUUUCGGCAGCUUUUCAUUUCUAAAAUACUGGCAGACGAGAUGGCUGACAAGACGGUGGCAAGACCUCAAGCUGAUGUAAAUGUAAGUAUCAGCGGUAAUUAAACAUUUUACUACCAACGGGGUGGUAGUGCAUUGUGGGACUUGCAUUAUUAGUGUUGAGUUUGACACAUGUGCUCUAACCUGUUAACAUAAGUGCCGAAAUGUAAUCACCAGGCAACGCAGCCGCCACCAACACGCAACGUUGGCAGUGUGAAACCAGGCUAAAUUGGUGAUUGGUGAAACGAGGAAUUGGAUACGCUCGCAGGUUAGGGUAAGGGAAGUGGUUAGGCUGGGAGAGCCACUCAAGAUUACAACCUGGGAUUGGGAUAGGGGAAUAACUGGGAUACGAACCCUGGUCACCUUAGGUACCGAAAGAGAACGGACUAAAGCAAGUGAGCGAGAGCAGAAGAGCAAACCUGUCUGGGCGAGACACCUCCAAAAAGCCAGUGUGAGAGUUUAUCUCAUACACACACCACAGCCUCCCCCCCACGGUGAGGCCAGAGAGUGACAGUGUUUGCGACAACCAUGCCUAAAUCCAUGUACAC
ensembl:lncRNA